GAGUUUGAUCUUGGCUCAGAACGAACGCUGGCGGCAUGCCUAACACAUGCAAGUCGAACGGGAUCCGAGCUUCGGUUCGGUGAGAGUGGCGGACGGGUGAGUAACGCGUGGGAACCUGCCCAGUGGUGGGGGAUAACUGCGGGAAACUGCAGCUAAUACCGCAUGAGCCCGAGAGGGGAAAGAUUUAUCGCCAUUGGAGGGGCCCGCGUUCGAUUAGGUAGUUGGUGAGGCAAAGGCUCACCAAGCCGACGAUCGAUAGCUGGUCUGAGAGGAUGAUCAGCCACACUGGGACUGAGAUACGGCCCAGACUCCUACGGGAGGCAGCAGUGGGGAAUAUUGGACAAUGGGGGCAACCCUGAUCCAGCAAUGCCGCGUGAGUGAUGAAGGCCUUC
rnacentral:rRNA from 1 species